rnacentral:misc_RNA from 1 species
AAGUCGUAACAAGGUCUCCGUAGGUGAACCUGCGGAGGGAUCAUUAACACGUUUCAAUACGUUUCCAACCAACCCGUGAACUUUAUGAAUUACACCUGACCUAAUAUGUGUUAAGCUGUUUGGAUUCUGUAUCAAUGAUGGGCACCUUUGAAGCAAUUCAAUUGUGCGGUACGUCCAAACUUGUGGUUAUACACAAGGCUUUCACAUCUCUUAGGCUUUUUUACUUUUUUGCUAUCUCCUCCCAUUACUGGAUUUAGCAGAAAACCCAAACCCCUUUCACCCCCUUAUAACUUUAUGACUGAAUCGUUUAGAUCUUCGAAAGGAGAUGUUAAACAAAAUAUUUUAAUCAAAAUAUCUAAGCACAACUCUUAGCAACGGAUAUCUUGGUUCUC